rnacentral:tRNA from 1 species
GCAAAUGUGGCAUAGUGGUUUGAGCAUUUGACUGUAACUCUGGAGACCAGGGUUCAAUUCUCCACUCAUCCA